GAGAGAGAGUAACUCCGGCGGUGAUUCAGCAGUCGGGCAGCGCGCGCUGGGAGUGAAACUGGAACAAAAAAAUAAUAAAUAAAUAAAUAAAUAAUAAUAAUAAUAAGUUUUAUUUAAAACCCGCAUAUCCGGUUUUGGACCAUGGACAUCGAGAGAAAGGUGUUUGUUUUAUAUGCUGGAGGAACUUUCGGCAUGAAGCCUAAUAAGGAAGGCAAGCUCUUUCCAGAGCGUCUACAGAUGAUCCAGGACUUCAUCAUCCAGCACGGCAUGCUUUAUGAGAGGAAGCCAGGAGAAUCAGUGGAUGACACCAGGAGACGCAUCAACACCUCAGAUGGUUUCAUCACACUAUAUACACAGUUGUAUAAGGAUGACCCCAAUGCCAAAGAAAAAGGCUACAAGAUUCUCUACAAGUUUGAUGGCCUGCAAAACCCCAUAGAUUCCUCCAGCGCCACCCCGGAAAACUGGAGUGAAAUGGCUAAAAUCAUAUUGGACAAUGCAGAAGUAUAUGAUGGAUUUGUCAUUAUUCAUGGAACAGAUACGAUGGCCUACACCUCCUCUGCCUUGUCCUUCAUUUUGGGACACAUCAAUAAGCCUGUGAUAGUGACCGGAGCUCAGAUCCCCAUAUUUGAGCCUCGUACUGAUGGUAUCAGCAACUUGGUUAACUCCAUGCUCAUGGCUGGAUAUUUCUCUGACAAGUCAAUACUGCAUAAGGUGAUGCUUUGCUAUCACAACAAGUUGUUCCAGGGAAACCGUGUGAUGAAGGUGGACUGUGAUUCCUUCGAUGUAUUUGAGAGCCCUGAGGUGUGUCCUCUAGUUAGCCUGGAAACCACAAUUAAAUUUUCAACGACUGAAGAGAAGAAGGAGAAGCCGAAAGACCAUCUUAACCUGAAAGCAGUGUUCAAAAUGAAAGAAGCACUGAAUGUGAGGAUACUGCAAUUUUUCCCAGGGAUCACUGAAACCUAUGUGCGUGGGAUUCUGAAUGGAGCUGACGGUGUUGUCCUGCAGACCUUUGGUGCUGGGAAUGUUCCAGAAGAAAACUGGCUUAAGGAUUGUCUGAUGGAAGCAAAUAAAAAAAACAUUCUAAUGUUGAACUGUACUCAGGUUUAUCGAGGUACUGUCGUACCCAUCUAUGCUGCUUCAGAGAUACUGAGAAAGGCUGAAGUGAUACCUGGAUAUGACAUCACUCCUGUAGCGGCAAUGACUAAAAUGAUCUGGGUGCUGAAAUUAACAUCUAAUGUUCAGGAGAGACGUAAGAUAACAAGGAGAAGAUUUAGGUUUGGAGAAGAUUGUUUGGAUGAAGGAGUAGAUUAGUUCGCGAAGAUUCAGGACUGGAGGGAAAUACAGGACUGUACGAAGAUUCAGGACUGGACGAAGAUGGACUGGACGAAGAUUCAGGACUGGACGAAGAUGGACUGGACGAAGAUUCAGGACUGGAGGGAGAUCCAGGACUGUACAAAGAUUCAGGACUGGACGAAGAUGGACUGGACGAAGAUUCAGGACUGGAGGGAGAUCCAGGACUGUACAAAGAUUCAGGACUGGACGAAGAUGGACUGGAUGAAGAUUGAGGACUGGAUGAAGAUUCAGGACUGGAGGAAGAUUCAGGACUGGACGAAGAUGGACUGGACGAAGAUUCAGGACUGGAGGGAGAUCCAGGACUGUACAAAGAUUCAGGACUGGACGAAGAUGGACUGGAUGAAGAUUCAGGACUGGAUGAAGAUUCAGGACUGGAGGAAGAUUCAGGACUGGACGAAGAUUCAGGACUGGAGGGAGAUCCAGGACUGUACGAAGAUUCAGGAGUGAAAGUGGAAGAUUCAGGAGUGGAUGAAGAUUCAGGACUGGAGGAGGAAGAUUCAGGAGUGGAUGAAGAUUCAGGACUGGAGGAGAAAACAUCAAUAACGUUUCACUUGCGGACGGCACUCACAGUGGAAAACCAGGAACACUUGAGUGAAAGAUGGGACUUCAGCUCAGUAUGAGGAAGACUGAGGUUACCACCACUAAUUGGAGAUGGUGGUACUUAAAUCAAUGACUAUAAUCAAAGGUUCCUGCAAUCGAGAAAUAUGAGGGUUAAUGGAGCGCAGCGUUUAUGGAGAGUCAUCUGCUCCCCCGAUGCAGCUGAACCUGGAAUUCAUCCUAAAAGAAGAGUGAAAACAGGCACAGACACACCUGCACUAACUGCCACUUCAUCAAAACAAUAAGAAGCCAUUAUCUAAGCGAAUGUCUAUCCCAGAGGAGCUCAGUGGAAUUUACCAGUAUAAUUACGCUUGUGAUCUUCUGAAAAGAUGUUUGACUUAACGCAGUGGACGGUGAAACAGAGCAACAGGCUCAAAUUUAUUCAGUUACCUGCUAAUCGUGUUACUCCGAAAUUUGCGAGGUCUUGUCCUUGUGAUUUGCAUGUCUGCUCUUUUUGUUGCAAUAAAAAUCUCUGCAGUAAUUAUUGGGAUUAAAACAUGAUGUAGUACUUCAUCAAAGCCAUCUUAGUAUUCACAUCGUUUCCUCUGGGUAUCUGAAAAAAGCAGGUGCUGUUUGGAAUAAUGAAAUAAAUCUGUUGUACAUUAUUAUGCAACAAAGAACUGCAGUGAAUGCAGGAAUGCAUGUGACAUUUGUGUUAUGUAGUAAAAUAAAAACAGACUUAACAAAUCUUCAGUGUAACUAAACUACCUUACCUUAAUGGCUGUUAAUCAGAAAGCCAACAGGCUCAUAAGCUCUGUGGAUAACACUGAGAGGAAGAGUAAGUCGACGUAUUUACUGACGCAAUUAUUAUUAAUCUUAACUGCAACAUAAAUGACUUGUGUUUUACAUGGAGAUAUUCAAAUGCCCUUGUGUAUAAAGAGCUGCUGUAAGUAGUCCUGGAUACAGUGUGCAGUACAGUGCACACUCGAGGACAUCCUCAGACCUCAGAGUCAGUAAUCAGACGGCACGGCUCUCCCUCAGAGCAGAUGCAUUGUGUGUAUCGAUGGAGCUCCAACACCUCAAAUUUACGAUGUUCUCACAUUGUGACUAUUUACAACUGAACAUUGUGCAACAUUUAAAUGUUCUAAAUAAAGCUUGACUAACUGG